rnacentral:rRNA from 1 species
CAGCAGUGAGGAAGGCGGGUACGUUAAUAGCGUGCUUGUUUGACGUUAGCUGCAGAAGAAGCACCGGCUAACUCCGUGCCAGCAGCCGCGGUAAUACGGAGGGUGCGAGCGUUAAUCGGAAUUACUGGGCGUAAAGCGCAUGCAGGUGGUUUGUUAAGUCAGAUGUGAAAGCCCGGGGCUCAACCUCGGAAUUGCAUUUGAAACUGGCAGACUAGAGUACUGUAGAGGGGGUAGAAUUUCAGGUGUAGCGGUGAAAUGCGUAGAGAUCUGAAGGAAUACCGGUGGCGAAGGCGGCCCCCUGGACAGAUACUGACACUCAGAUGCGAAAGCGUGGGGAGCAAACAGGAUUAGAUACCCUGGUAG